UUAGCCAUUUCCUGGCAUUUAUUUCAUUUUUUUUGUAAACGCACAAAAUACAACAUCCUGAAAGAUUUUAAGUUAAAUUAUCCUUAAUGGGUUUUUUACUAAUUUUCAUGUUUGCCUUAUAACAUCAAAAUCAGGCUAAUCUCUUUUCAGAAGUCAUGAUUAUUUAGAUUUCCUACCACAUAUGAACAUAUCCAUUCUAAGAAUAAACUGUCAAUUAAACCAACUGUAGAAUAAAUAGAUUACAUUGUAUACUUAAGAGAACCUUCCUCUACAGUAAAUAUUUUUCCCUGACCCAAAGCAUUCACAAUAGCAGGAAGCUUGCUUGCAGAGUGUUUACAAUAGCAGGAAGCUGUUCUGAAUCCACAUAAUGUAUCCUCCCACAGUAUUAAUAAAAGAUAAUUUAAGAGAUAGAAAGUAAGAGAGAACUCAGUUCAGUUAAGAAACUUUAUAUUAAUGUAAGAUACAGACUCCCAUAAUAUUACAUUAUUUUUAAAAAUAGGCAUACAUCAAGCAGCUAAACAUUGGCAUAUUUUCCUUAAGUAUUUCUGCUUUCUAAUAUAUCAACGUCCAAAAAUCAAUAUAGUAAAUAGGGUCCAGUUCCCUUGCCCAUGCCACAGCUCAAAAAUGGAUCUCUGGAGUUGUGAGUGCAACACUCAUGGAGAAGGGAAGAGAAAAUUAAAAAAGAAAAAAAAAAUCAGGCCACUUUUACUGUAGGUGACUAAUUAUGAAUUUAUGGACCAUGUCCUCAGCUGGCAUACAUCAGUCUAUCUCCAAUUACUUUAAUGGAGCUAAGCCAAUUUACACCAGUUGAGGACGUGGGCUUAAGUGUCUAACUUUGGGCUCCUAAAGUUUGAAGUUUUAUUCUUAGUAUUUAGAAUUCAAGUGUUUCGUUUGUCUGUGAUAAAUACAAGAUAUACAUAAGUAAAAAACAUGGUUUUUAAAAAACAGUUUUAGAAAAAGUUAACAUCUUAGGUAAUCUUAUACUAAGAUGUUUUUAUAUGAGGGAAAAGUCAUCAGAGCUUCUUUCACAGGGAAUCUUUGUAUUUGUAUUUUAUCAAAGCUGCAAACAUAUCAAGGCUUCAUGUGCUUUAUUAAAAACUGAUCAUUAUAUAAAGCAGUUUAACACUGAUGGCCAACAACCUUGCUAAUACACUUCAUACCUUUGCAGUGGCUGACACAAUCCUAUCUCCAUAAUUAGUAUGAAUGCUUUGUAUUCUACAGCUAUUGAAUGCAAUAUGCAGAUUUACAAAUAUACAAUGACGGUAAAUUAUGGUGAUAUAACAAGAGUUUAUUAAAAAUUAACCAACUAUGAUGAGUAAGCCAACCUUAGGUCUUCUCUUAUUAUGGUAUGUGCAGUGUAAAAAACACACAAUUUAAAUGGGUAGCACAAUACUCAUUUUAAAUGAACAGCCAAAAUGAACAGUGUGCUUCUUGUUGAUCUUCCAUAUUACAAUAAUGUACUGUAUUUUGAUUUAAUUUCACCACUCAUCUAAGAAAGCUAUUGGUGGGACAAAUCAUCUAAUUCGGUCAAAUUUCUGGAGAAUAUAUGGCUUCAUUCAUGUGGAACAAGCAUUAAUUUUCCCCCUAAAUUAAUUAUAGCAAAAGAGAACCCAAGAAGACUUUUAGACAAACAGGUUUGUAAGAUUUAUUUUCCAUUGCACAUACAUGGAUUAUAUAAAAGUUAGUAACAAGUUACUGCUUAAUUUCCUUACAUUUUCUAAAGAUAGUUA